ACGGGAGGCAGCAGUGGGGAAUAUUGCACAAUGGGGGAAACCCUGAUGCAGCGACGCCGCGUGAGUGAAGAAGUAUUUCGGUAUGUAAAGCUCUAUCAGCAAGGAAGAAAAUGACGGUACUUGACUAAGAAGCCCCGGCUAACUACGUGCCAGCAGCCGCGGUAAUACGUAGGGGGCAAGCGUUAUCCGGAUUUACUGGGUGUAAAGGGAGCGUAGACGGUAUGGCAAGUCUGAAGUGAAAUGCCCGGGCUCAACCCGAGAACUGCUUUGGAAACUGUCAAACUAGAGUGCAGGAGAGGUAAGUAGAAUUCCUAGUGUAGCGGUGAAAUGCGUAGAUAUUAGGAGGAACACCAGUGGCGAAGGCGGCUUGCUGGGCUUUAACUGACGCUGAGGCUCGAAAGCGUGGGUAGCAAACAGGAUUAGAUACCCUGGUA
rnacentral:rRNA from 1 species